UGGAGGAAUGAUGAGCAAAUGAGUCAAGAUUGGGCUGUGGUAGAGGAAACGAACCUCCAUCAGGACCUUAGAUGGUAACGGAAUGAGUUCUAGACCUAGGGCCAGCAGCCUAAAAGUUGGAGAUACAGAUAGUGCAUUUGUGGAGGAAGAAGCUGAGACUGAAGACCUUGGGCCCUGGCUUAUAACGGAAUCUGAAUAAAACCAUA